rnacentral:lncRNA from 1 species
AUGCAGGGCAGACAGGGUACGCAGAUAAAGGUAAAGGGCACACAGACUCUGGUUGGAGCCUGCUUGGAGCAGGGGAGCUGCUCCAACUGGCUCAGGAGAACACUCAGCCUCGGAGGACGACAGCAGCACGUGGCCAGAGCCUGCUGGGUGGCCCAGGGAGGUGGCCACGGAAAGGCCUGCCUCUCACCCAUUCCCCUUUCUUUAGAAGAGAGAGUUGCCAUGUUUGGGACCCACUUCUCAUUGAGGAGCAGAAGGACACAGUGGGGACAGUACAGUAGGAGACAGGAUUCCAGGCCUCCUCGGGACAGGGGACAGCCCCAGGUGGACACAGGCCUGUGCCCAUUGGCUGCAGGAACACUGCACCCCUCUCGGCACCUGGGCUCUGCUGCACUGGGGACAGAACAGAAGACCAUGUGGCUCCGUGGCCUCCUGCCCCACACCCCCAGGGGCCUGCAGGCUUCUCCGAGUGCUGCUAGUUACAGAGGGCAGCAGGUGGCCGGCUGCGCUGGGUGCAGGGAGCCAUGGUGUGCUCCAGCUUCAGCCCAGAGCGGAGGGGCCUGGCUCCAGGCAGCCUGCUCGCUCCCUGCUCACCGUCACCCUGUAAAAGCACCUGAUUGGCUGCCACAGGCUCACGGGGCCAGGCUCAGAGAGACCCCCGUGUGCCCACGUCAUGUGCCUGCCCUGGAGCUGGCCAGGAUCCUGACAUUCCCGCCGUGGGAUAGGCAUGUGCUGGGGACAGGCCCCCUGCGAGGACACAGGGACCCAGAUGAGCACGGACAUCCCAGAUGCACUGCACAGAGCUCUGAGCGGGAAGGUGCCCUCCAGAGCCUUCAGGACCUGCAGCCUCAGUGCCCAGAGCUGGGGCCCCACUGGGCAUCCUCUGGGACAGGACCUGAUCCCAGGCACCCAAACCAGAACCACAGCUUUGGAGCCAGUCUGGCCGUCCAGGGACAGCGAUCAGUGGCCCCUGAAGGCAGCUCCAGGGUUGAUUUGGGACUGUCUGGGAGGCCUGGGAGCCCACAGGGACCAGAGCUGAACCCUUCGUCCUCUCAGGACAGUGCCACCCCAGGCUGAGUGAGCUCUGCCUUGGAGACAUUUAUCAUGGCGGAUGGCACCGAGCCCAGGCAGGAGGUGUGUGGGCCUGGUGCCUGGGGGCUCGGCCCCUGCUGCGGCUGGGGUCUUACUGCAGGUUAGAAGAAGGGUAGGUCUGGAGCUGAGUGAGGUCUUCCAGGACUGAGCCCAAGUACAGCUGAGCCUUGGAGGGGCGGGGCAGGGCAGGGGAGCCCACCGCCCAGAAGGGGCAAGACGCAGCUGGACCCCCGCGGGGUAGAAGCUGGCUGUACCACUCCCGUGAGACCCUUCAAACAAGGCUGCUGGCCACAGGAAAGGCAGAGGUCUCUAGCCACUGCCACUGGCCACCACCUAGAAGGUGCUCUGUGAGAACCACCGCUCCAGACCAGGCCCCACCCGGCCACUGUCCCGCACUGGCACGGCUGGGCUCAGAAGGGCACUAAGGGGCAGAGCCAGCCUGGCCUGCUCAGGAGCCACUGCCCAGAUGUGGCCAUGGCCACAGUCCACCCUUGCUGCUGCUGCACUGGCACCCGCUGUGACGAUCAGACACUGAACUGACCAGAGCUGAAUGAGCCAUCUCAGGGCUCAGUCGAACCUGAAGUCUACCCCACGGCACCUGAGCCAACCCUGCCCGGGCUCACCUCUGUUCCCACCUCAGGGAGACAGGGAAACUGACCAUUGCAGAAUAGAUACAUGGUCCCAGGUCCCAAACCACAAGGCAGGACUUGAAUAAAGCCACUGGGCCAAGGUCA